rnacentral:tRNA from 1 species
GGGCUGGGGCUCAGUGGUAGAGCGCUUGCCUAGCAUGUGUGCGGCUCUGGGUUCAAGUCUCAGCACCACA